UACGUAGGGGGCAAGCGUUGUCCGGAUUUAUUGGGCGUAAAGAGCGUGUAGGCGGCCAGGUAGGUCUGCUGUGAAAACUCGAGGCUCAACCUCGAGACGUCGGUGGAAACCAUCUGGCUAGAGUCCGGAAGAGGAGAGUGGAAUUCCUGGUGUAGCGGUGAAAUGCGCAGAUAUCAGGAAGAACACCCGUGGCGAAGGCGGCUCUCUGGGACGGUACUGACGCUGAGACGCGAAAGCGUGGGGAGCGAACAGG
rnacentral:rRNA from 1 species